rnacentral:misc_RNA from 1 species
UUUCCGUAGGUGAACCUGCGGAAGGAUCAUUGUCGAACCCUGCCCAGCAGAACGACCCCCGAACCUGUAUAAACAACCGGGGGCGGGGGGCGUUCUCGCCUCGUGCCCCCGAACGGCGGGGAGUCACUCGUGCGUUCUUGCCGAACAACGAACCUCGGCCCGGUCUGCGCCAAGGAACUUCAACUAAAGAGUGCCCCCGAGCGCCACGGAAACGGCGUGCGUGCCGGGGGCUAAUCUUGUGCAAAACCAAUAAGACUCUCGGCAACGGAUAUCUCGGCUCUC